rnacentral:rRNA from 1 species
UACAGAGGUCCCAAGCGUUGUUCGGAUUCACUGGGCGUAAAGGGUGCGUAGGCGGUCGGGUAAGUCUGAUGUGAAAUCUCACAGCUUAACUGUGAAACUGCAUUGGAUACUAUCCGGCUCGAGGAAUGGAGGGGAGACUGGAAUACUUGGUGUAGCAGUGAAAUGCGUAGAUAUCAGGAGGAACACCGAUGGCGAAGGCAGGUCUCUGGGCUGACACUGACGCUCAUGCACGAAAGCGUGGGGAGCAAACAGG